rnacentral:rRNA from 1 species
CCUACGGGAGGCAGCAGUGAGGAAUAUUGGUCAAUGGACGCAAGUCUGAACCAGCCAUGCCGCGUGCAGGAAGACGGCCCUCUGAGUUGUAAAUUGCUUUUGUACGAGGGUAAACGUAGAUACUCGUAUCUUUCUGAAAGUACUGUACGUAUAUGGAUCGGCUAACUCCGUGCCAGCAGCCGCGGUAAUACGGAGGAUUCAAGCGUUAUACGGAUUUAUUUGGUUUAUAGGGUGCGUAGGCGGUCGGAUAAGUUAGAGGUGAAAUCCCCAGGCUCAACUUCGGAAUUGCCUCUGAUACUGUUCGGCUAGAGAGUAGUUGCGGGAGGCGGAAUGUAUGGGGUAGCGGUGAAAUGCGUAGAGAUCA